AGUGAAGCGGCAACAGCUCAAAUUUGAAAUCUGGCUCUCGGGCCCGAGUUGUAAUUUGUAGAGGAUGCUUUUGGUGCGGUGCCUUCCGAGUGCCCUGGAACGGGACGCCAUAGAGGGUGAGAGCCCCGUCUGGUUGGAUGCCAAUCCUCUGUAAAGCUCCUUCGACGAGUCGAGUAGUUUGGGAAUGCUGCUCUAAAUGGGAGGUAUAUGUCUUCUAAAGCUAAAUACCGGCCAGAGACCGAUAGCGCACAAGUAGAGUGAUCGAAAGAUGAAAAGCACUUUGAAAAGAGAGUUAAAAAGUACGUGAAAUUGUUGAAAGGGAAGCGUUUAUGACCAGACUUGGGCUUGGUUAAUCAUCCAGGGUUCUCCCUGGUGCACUUUUCCAGUCCAGGCCAGCAUCAGUUUGCUUCGGGGGACAAAGGCUUCGGGAAUGUGGCUCUCUCCGGGGAGUGUUAUAGCCCGUUGCGUAAUACCCUGGGGCGGACUGAGGUACGCGCUUCUGCAAGGAUGCUGGCGUAAUGGUCAUCAACGACCCGUCUUGAAACACGGACCAAGGAGUCGUCUUCGUAUGCGAGUGUUCGGGUGUCAAACCCCUACGCGUAAUGAAAGUGAACGCAGGUGAGAGCUUCGGCGCAUCAUCGACCGAUCCUGAUGUUCUCGGAUGGAUUUGAGUAAGAGCAUACGGGGCCGGACCCGAAAGAAGGUGAACUAUGCUUGUAUAGGGUGAAGCCAGAGGAAACUCUGGUGGAGGCUCGCAGCGGUUCUGACGUGCAAAUCGAUCGUCAAAUAUGAGCAUGGGGGCGAAAGACUA
rnacentral:rRNA from 1 species